rnacentral:rRNA from 1 species
UACGUAGGUGGCAAGCGUUGUCCGGAUUUAUUGGGCGUAAAGGGCGCGCAGGCGGUUCGUUAAGUCCGAGGUGAACUCUCCCGGCUCAACUGGGAGAGGUCUUCGGAUACUGGCGGACUGGAGGUGAGCAGAGGUGAGUGGAAUUCUCGGUGUAGCGGUGAAAUGCGCAGAUAUCAGGAAGAACACCUAUGGCGAAGGCAGCUCUCUGGGACGGUACUGACGCUGAGACGCGAAAGCGUGGGGAGCGAACAGG